rnacentral:lncRNA from 1 species
GGGCCUGACUAUCUGCUGCUGAGGGGCAAUCCUGAUGCCUUCAAUGGCAUCGUGACGGCUGAGAUCGGCUCCCAGGUGGAAAUGGAGUGUGUCUCCUAUUCUUUCCCAGAUCUCAAGUACUGCUGGAUCCACAACAGCUCCUUCCUAAACUUCUCAUAUGCAAAGUUGUAUCUCUUGAGUCUGGCCUGGUAGCAGAUGGGCACUUACCAAUGCACUGUGGAAAACCCCGUGACACAGCUGAUCAUGUACAUGGACGUCAGGAUCCAGGCCCCCCGUGAGUGCAGCAGCUCCCGUCCAGGCUCAUGCUCUGCACAUCUCCCUGCCUCCAUGCCCUGCU